UGAUCUUUGAGCAAGUUUCCUCUUAAUCUCCAAUCUCAGAGGCAUUUUCAGCGAUGAAUAUGAGAACUCUCCUGAAGAGUAACCGAAGCAGUGAUUGAAGUAGCGGUAGAGAACAAAUUGAAGCACAAAUUAGCUGCAGAGAUCUUCGAAUUCCAAAUGUUUUGAAGUGAGAGAAGGACGAAGAGAGAUCAAGAGAGAGAAAAUUAGUACUCCAAGAGGUUUAGCUCGUGUAACAGCG
rnacentral:misc_RNA from 1 species